AUGUGCCCGGCGAGGAUUUCUGUGCUGCGCCUCAGCAUUCUCCCUCUCUCCCUCUGCUCCCUUCCUCCCUGCUCAGCGUGCCCGCUCUCGCCUCCGCACCGCUUCCCUUCGUGCAUCCCACCGGCGACCAUGGCCAAGGAGAAGACGGCGGCGCUGGAGCGUGCCAAGAAGGCGUCGGCAUCGGAGAAGGCGAAGGGGAGAUCCACCAGCCGCCGAGGAUCCUCGUCCAGAUCCCGCCUGCCGAAAGGCUGGGUCCAAGGCGACUGGAUCCAGUCGACCAUCACGGAGAAGGACCUCCUCGACAUGGCCAACGAGGGCUUGAUCCCUCACGGAGCUGCGAGGUUGCCGGGGAAGGAGUGGCAGCCACAGCCAGAAGAGGGUGAGUGUGUGCUUCUGGCCACUCAUGUCGAUCGGGGGUUUUCCUUGCCACCAAGCAUUUUCUUCCGUGGUUUCUUGAAUUUCUUCGGAGCGCAGCUCCAUCAUUUUACUCCAAACUCCAUUGCCUAUCUCGCUGCAUUCGCGUCCAUGUGUGAGGGUUUCUUGGGCUGUCGACCGCACUGA
rnacentral:rRNA from 1 species